rnacentral:rRNA from 1 species
CCGGCGCACGGGUGAGUAACGCGUAUGCAACUUGCCUAUCAGAGGGGGAUAACAGUUGGAAACGGCUGCUAAUACCGCAUAAGCGCACAGUACCGCAUGGUACGGUGUGAAAAACUCCGGUGGUAUGAGAUGGACCCGCGUCUGAUUAGGUAGUUGGUGGGGUAACGGCCUACCAAGCCGACGAUCAGUAGCCGACCUGAGAGGGUGACCGGCCACAUUGGGACUGAGACACGGCCCAA